GGGGAUGUGGCUCAGUGGUAGGGCACUUGCCUGGUAUGCAUGAGGCCCUGGAUUUGAUCACCAGCAGCCA
rnacentral:tRNA from 1 species